rnacentral:rRNA from 1 species
CAGUCGCCGCGGGAACACGUAGGUGGCAAGCGUUGUCCGGAAUUAUUGGGCGUAAAGGGCUCGCAGGCGGUUUCUUAAGUCUGAUGUGAAAGCCCCCGGCUCAACCGGGGAGGGUCAUUGGAAACUGGGAAACUUGAGUGUAGAAGAGGAGAGUGGAAUUCCACGUGUAGCGGUGAAAUGCGUAGAGAUGUGGAGGAACACCAGUGGCGAAGGCGACUCUCUGGUCUGUAACUGACGCUGAGGAGCGAAAGCGUGGGGAGCGAACAGGAUUAGAUACCCCAGUAGUCCCUGUCUCUUAUAA